UUUCACCUAAUUUCUCAACCUACUUUUUAUAUUAUUUCUUUUACUUAUUUUUCACAUUAACUUUUUGUAUUGUUCUCACUAACUUUUAAUUUUAAAUUAUAUUUUAUUCACCAUUUUCAUUAUCCACAACUCUAUAAAUACCCACAUACUCUUCAUUCCAUUUUUUACACACAUACACACACAUGUCUUCUCUUGUACACAUAGAGCUGUCAAAACGGAUAACCCGACCCGACCUGGCCCACCACUGGUU
rnacentral:lncRNA from 1 species